GACGAACGCUGGCGGCGUGCCUAAUACAUGCAAGUUGAGCGCUGAAGGUUGGUACUUGUACCAACUGGAUGAGCAGCGAACGGGUGAGUAACGCGUGGGGAAUCUGCCUUUGAGCGGGGGACAACAUUUGGAAACGAAUGCUAAUACCGCAUAAAAACUUUAAACACAAGUUUUAAGUUUGAAAGAUGCAAUUGCAUCACUCAAAGAUGAUCCCGCGUUGUAUUAGCUAGUUGGUGAGGUAAAGGCUCACCAAGGCGAUGAUACAUAGCCGACCUGAGAGGGUGAUCGGCCACAUUGGGACUGAGACACGGCACAAAAUCCUACGGGAGGCAGCAGUAGGGAAUCUUCGGCAAUGGAAGAAAGUCUGACCGAGCAACGCCGCGUGAGUGAAGAAGGGUGUCGGAUCGUAAAACUCUGUUGGUAGAGAAGAAAGUUGGUGAGAGUGGAAAGCUCAUCAAGUGACGGUAACUACACAGAAAGGGACGGCUAACUACGUG
rnacentral:rRNA from 1 species